GUGUGAGAGAGAGAGAGAGAAGAAGGAGAGCAGAAGCCAUGUGGUGGUGUCUUCUGCUCUUGUCUCGUUUAAACUCCAUUACCAUGGGGUUGCAGGGUGGUAAAAUGGGUUUAACCGAGUGGAUAACCUUGAAAAAUAAUGGAAAAAAGUAAAUAAAUAAAUUGGCUACAUCCCUAUCAAAGAAUAGCUUAUUCAAGUUAAAGCAGAUCAAGUAGAUAAAAAACAAAGCCAUGCAUUCAACAAGUGUGUAGUUUGGGAUAAUUCACCACUUUAACAUGCGAUGACCGCAAACCAAACAGGAUUUUGAAGCCUAAUUUAAUGUUCCAUUUGGUUUGAUCUGUUUCAUUUCCUCAUCAUCCAAGUGUUUUUGGGUGUGCUAUAGCUUGCAAAUGCUCUCCCACAACCUAGUAUUGGACUAGAAUAGUUUAGUUAUUUAUCUUUGAUUGUUGGGACUGCCGGCAAGAGCAUACCUUGCACUUUUACUUUUUCUAGUGCUUUGCAUGCUGUAAGUGGUUUUCAGAUUGGACUAGAUGAGAAAAGGAUAAGGUGUGGACGACAUAAAGGGCAGGAAUGAAGCAAGCAUUGCAUGUAGAAGUAUUUGUCCUUCCAGGUACCAACCAGAUACCACACCCACAAGCUGCUAAUGGAGCUCAGCUAUGAAUCACCUUUCACAAUCAUCUUCCUUUUCUUUAUUGCCCAAAUCACAUUCCAUUCACCCGUGAUGAUAUAAAAUUUUCAAAUGGACUGUUUGGCUUUCUCCUCUUCCUUUACCUGAUUAUGUAUAUACAUUUAUCUCUUCAUUAUUAUGAUGAUACGAAGCUGGUUUCCAUGAUGAUCAAUAGACUCAUAUUCUCUUAAGAUGUUUCUUUCUCUCUUCUCCUCAAGAUUAAAAUGCAAAUGGGGUAUAUCCAAAAAAAGAAAGUGUG
rnacentral:lncRNA from 1 species